CAGUUUAAUGCCUUUCCCCGAAGACAGCCUGUCGGGGUAUCGCUUCCAGAUCGCUUCCUGUGUGUUUACGGAACUAUGUGUGUUCCCAUGGCAACGGGGAGUGCUUUAUCACCCUUACACAAUGGUAUCUUGCGUUACUGGUCAGGACGGCCCUGCCUUUCUAGUGUCAGUGGACACGUGGAACACUUCUGCCCCUGGCUAUUGAGAAUCAAGCUGCUAGGAAUGGAGAAGCAAAGCCAUCUGGCCAGGCUCAGGCUGGAUCAGCAGAACUCCAGUUUAUCUGCAGACAGACCAGAUUCCCCAUCCAACUGGUUGGGAAGCUCUUCAUGUGGCUUUUCAGAGUGGACAGUCCUGCUAGCUGUCCCUUUGCCCUCUGCCAGAUCCCCAGAGUUCUUUUCAUUCAUUGAUGGCUUAGGAAGAGAGAGUGUGUGCAAGACACACGUGUCUUCUACUCACUGGCCAAGAUAAGACAAGACUACAACAUCAUUUCCUGGUCCUGCCUACUUCCUGUGGGCGGCCCCUUCUCCACGAGAGCAGCACCUGACACAGGGGACUCAUUCUCCUUUGAUGCUUUUUAAAGGUGUACUUGUGACUCGAAUGACUGUGAUCCUGGGAAAACUCAACAUUUCAUCUCAUCAAAGUCACCUUUCCAACUUUAGCAGUGAAAACUACAAGAAAGGGGGUCAAAAUUCAGAUUAGGCAUCCUGGAGCAUCCUCUCUGGCUCCACAAGGUGAUCAGAGAGUGUGGACACAUAUCCAUCUAUUGACAAAUAAUUGUGAAAGGCAAAAUGUCUCCCUAAAUUAUAGUAAUGCACAUGUGAUGUGUAUAAUUCAACACCCUUUUGUGUAGGAAGUAGCCAUACUACUAAUACACUGCUGGUGGAAUUCUUAAUUGGUUUAGCCACUUAAAGAGAAAUCAGUAUUAUGUCUUAAAGUUGAAAAUGUAGGCAUCCUAUGGCCCAGCAAUUCCAUCAAUAUGAUCAAUAAAGAUUUAUUUCCCAAUCAGCAACCCAAGA
rnacentral:lncRNA from 1 species